rnacentral:rRNA from 1 species
GAGUUUGAUCGUGGCUCAGGAUGGACGCUGGCGGCGUGCUUAACACAUGCAAGUCGAACGAUGAUCCCAGCUUGCUGGGGGAUUAGUGGCGAACGGGUGAGUAACACGUGAGUAACCUGCCCUUGACUCUGGGGAUAAGCCUGGGAAACUGGGUCUAAUACCGGAUAUGACCUUCCAUCGCAUGGUGGUUGGUGGAAAGCUUUUGUGGUUUUGGAUGGACUCGCGGCCUAUCAGCUUGUUGGUGAGGUAAUGGCUUACCAAGGCGACGACGGGUAGCCGGCCUGAGAGGGUGACCGGCCACACUGGGACUGAGACACGGCCCGGACUCCUACGGGAGGCAGCAGUGGGGAAUAUUGCACAAUGGGCGCAAGCCUGAUGCAGCGACGCCGCGUGAGGGAUGACGGCC